UCAUUUUCUUGUUCUCUCUCCUGACUGA
rnacentral:piRNA from 1 species